AUGCAAGUCGAGCGGUAACAGGUGUAGCAAUACAUGCUGACGAGCGGCGAACGGGUGAGUAAUGCUUCGGAAUCUGCCCAAUGGUGGGGAAUAACCAGCCGAAAGGUUGGCUAAUACCGCAUGAGCCCUACGGGGGAAAGCGGGGGAUCGUAAGACCUCGCGCCGAUGGAUGAGCCGAAGCCGGAUUAGCUAGUUGGUAGGGUAACGGCCUACCAAGGCGACGAUCCGUAGCUGGUCUGAGAGGACGACCAGCCACACUGGGACUGAGACACGGCCCAGACUCCUACGGGAGGCAGCAGUGGGGAAUAUUGGACAAUGGGGGAAACCCUGAUCCAGCGACGCCGCGUGUGUGAAGAAGGCCUGCGGGUUGUAAAGCACUUUUAGUGGGGAUGAAAAGCUCAGGGCUAAUACCUCUGGGUCUUGACCUAACCCAAAGAAAAAGCACCGGCUAACUCUGUGCCAGCAGCCGCGGUAAUACAGA
rnacentral:rRNA from 1 species